GGAACCGUAGCUCAGUGGUUAGAGCAGGUGACUCAUAAUCUCCUGGUCGCAGGUUCGAACCCUGCCGGUUCCACCA
rnacentral:tRNA from 1 species